rnacentral:rRNA from 1 species
UUAUCUAGAAAGCUUAACCAUUUUGGCGGGUUUUAGUCUUUUCAGAGGAACUUGUCCGGUAAUCGAUAGUCCACGAAAACAUAAGCUUAUUUUAAUUAGUUUGUAUAUCGUUGUAGUUGAGUAUUUUAUAAGAAUUUUAAUAUUCAAGAUUAAUUAUUAUUAAAAAAAUCAGAUCAAGGUGCAGCUUAUAAAUAAGAAUGAGAUGGGUUACAAUAAAUAGUAUUUAUAAUGAAUAAAUAAUUGAAAAUUAUUUUGAAGGUGGAUUUGUAAGUAAUAAUAAUUAUUUUAUUAUUAUGAUUUUAGCUCUAAAAUAUGCACAUAUUGCCCGUCGCUUUCAAUUAAAUUGGAAUAAGUCGUAACAAAGUAGGUGUACUGGAAAGUGUGUCUGGAAUCAAAGUAGAGCUUGUUAUAAAGCAUUUUAUUUACAUUAAGAAGUUAAUUGUGAGAAUCAAUUUAUUGAAUAUAAUUAUUUAUUUAAGAAUAUUAAUUAAAAUAUUAUUUAGUUUUAUUAUUAUAAAAAGGAAAAAUAUUUUUUAUUAUAGUUUAUUAGUAUAGUGAUAGAAAAUUUUUUUAUAAUUUAAAGAAUGUUUUAUUUAUAGUACCUUGUGUAUCAGGGUUAAUUUAUAAUUAAUAAUAGAUUUUAUAUUCUCGAAAAAAUAAGAGUUAAUUUUAUAUCUAUAUUAAUGUAGAAUUAUUAUUUUGGAUAUAUUAUUAGUAAUGAAACGUUAUUCGUUUAUUUUUAUAUCUAGUUAUUUAAGUAAUGUAUUUAAUACAGAUUUAAAUUUAUAAUUUUUUUUUUAUUAAAAAAAUUAUAAAUUAAAAUUUUAUAUUUUAAGGGUUGAGCUUUAGAUUAGAUUUUUAUAAGAGAAUUUUUAAGUUAAAAUUAAAUAGGAUUAGAAUUUUUUAUUUUUUAUAUUAUGUUAUAGUUAUUUUUUAUAUUUAUUUUAUUUAUAUUUUUUUUUAAUUUUUUAUUAAAUAUUAAAAUUUAAUUUUAAAAUUUUAGGUAUAGUGAUUAAAUUAGUAUAGAUUAAUGUUUUAAAAGUUUAUAUGUAAGGUAUUAAUAAGGAAUUCGGCAAAUAUUUUUUUCACCUGUUUAUUAAAAACAUGUCCUUUUGAAUAUGAUUUAAGGUUUGGCCUGCUCAAUGAUUAAUUAAAUAGCUGCAGUAUUUUGACUGUACAAAGGUAGCAUAAUCAUUAGUUUUUUAAUUGAAAGCUUGUAUGAAUGGUUAAAUGAGAAAAGAUCUGUCUAUUUAUAAUUUAAUAGAAUUUUAUUUUUAAGUUAAAAAGCUUAAAUUUUAUUAAAAGACGAGAAGACCCUAUAGAGUUUAAUAGUUAUUAUAUUUAUAUUAUUGAGGAAAUUUAUAAAUAUAUUUAUAAUUAUUUUUUAAUUGGGGUGAUUUUAAAAUUUAUAUAACUUUUAAAUUUUUAUUAC